rnacentral:rRNA from 1 species
UUGGUCCGUGUUUCAAGACGGGUCGCUGAUGACCAUUACGCCAGCAUCCUUGCAGAACGCGAACCUCAGUCCACCGCAGGGUAUUACGCAACGGGCUAUAACACUCCCGAGGGAGCCACAUUCCCGAAGCCUUUAUCCCCCGCAGCGAACUGAUGCUGGCCUGGACGAGGAAGAGUGCACCAGGGAGAACCCAGGUUGAUCUACCAAGCCCAAGUCUGGUCAUAAGCGCUUCCCUUUCAACAAUUUCACGUACUGUUUAACUCUCUUUUCAAAGUGCUUUUCAUCUUUCGAUCACUCUACUUGUGCGCUAUCGGUCUCUGGCCAAUAUUUAGCUUUAGAAGACAUAUACCUCCCAUUUAGAGCAGCAUUCCCAAACUACUCGACUCGUCGAAGGAGCUUUACAGAGGAUUGGUGUCCAACCAGACGGGGCUCUCACCCUCUAUGGCGUCCCGUUCCAGGGAACUCGGAAGGCACCGCACCAAAAGCAUCCUCUACAAAUUACAACUCGGACCCGAGGGCCAGAUUUCAAAUUUGAGCUGUUGCCGCUUCACUCGCCGUUACUAGGGCAAUCCCUGUUGGUUUCUUUUCCUCCGCUUAUUGAUAUGCA